rnacentral:rRNA from 1 species
UACGUAGGGUGCAAGCGUUAAUCGGAAUUACUGGGCGUAAAGCGUGCGCAGGCGGUUAUGUAAGACAGGUGUGAAAUCCCCGGGCUUAACCUGGGAACUGCAUUUGUGACUGCAUAGCUAGAGUACGGUAGAGGGGGAUGGAAUUCCGCGUGUAGCAGUGAAAUGCGUAGAGAUGUGGAGGAAUACCGAUGGCGAAGGCAGCCCCCUGGGCCAAUACUGACGCUCAUGCACGAAAGCGUGGGGAGCAAACAGG